UACAGAGGGUGCGAGCGUUAAUCGGAAUUACUGGGCGUAAAGGGCUCGUAGGCGGCCAACUAAGUCGGAUGUGAAAUCCCCAGGCUCAACUUGGGAACUGCAUCCGAUACUGGAUGGCUUGAAUUCGGGAGAGGGAUGCAGAAUUCCAGGUGUAGCGGUGAAAUGCGUAGAUAUCAAGAGGAACACCUGAGGCGAAGGCGGGUUGCUAGGCUGACACUGACGCUGAGUGCGCGAAAGCCAGGGGAGCAAACGGG
rnacentral:rRNA from 1 species